CAGCUUGGGUCCAGAAUCCACUCCAGCCCUAGCAACGUGACAGAGUGGGAAGAUCAUAUGGUACAAACACGGUUUCUAAGGCUCUCUACUAUGGGUGAAAGCUUCAGAGAAGGAGGCUUUAAGACUGCAAAGAUAAUCCAAAAAUUGUCUGGUAUAAGCAGGGUAGACUCAAAAGCAGGAAAGGCCAGAAAUCAUCAACAGGUUAAGACAUUUUCCUUUGAAAAAAGGGAGUGGACAAGGCAGAAGUCUUUCCGCUGUUGCUCACAAAAGUGCUGUGACCGUGUUUUCAUCAUGUUGCCUGCCCCUUGGGUGGAGAGAUCCAAAGGGUGCCGGGAUCUGAGUCAAGCUCUCCAUUUCCGAGUCUCCUGGAGUUGCAGAGGCACUAAGGAUAGCCUGGAAUGCAGGUGAAGGGCCCUGGCUGGGGAAAUU
rnacentral:lncRNA from 1 species